rnacentral:sRNA from 1 species
AAAAUUCUCAUAUGAACUUUGAUGGGAAAGUGAAGAUUAAUUUGACAUAAUUGGCGAAAGGAUUUCACCGGAUUUUUCUAGUAUUCUCUGGCUGACGAAGAAUAAAUAUAGUCAGAGUAUUAUUGCGCUAAUGGUGUUGUUAUAAAAUAGAGUAAAUCAGAUUUGAGUGAUCCUAUCGACAUUUAAGAUUGAUCCAUAUAUAAUUUUGACUUUUGUUUAGUUGAUGGUGAUGUAUGUAAAGAUUCGUAAGAAAAGGGCGAGAUAGAUGAAAGGAGCACACUUCAUAAAAGAGAAGAAGAUUUAUUCACAAGGAUGUCUUUUGAAGAAGAAAGAAGAAGGAGAGCGAGAUGUACAAACACAGUAAGAAAAGGGAGAGAGAGAUGAAAGGAGCACACUUCAUAAAAGAGAAGAAGAUUUAUUCAAUAGGAUGUCUUUUGAAAAAGAAAGAAGAAGGAGAGCGUGAUGUACAAACACAUGAUAGUAUUGUCAAUAUUAUAUAUAUUAUACAUAA